rnacentral:rRNA from 1 species
AUUGAACGCUGGCGGCAGGCCUAACACAUGCAAGUCGAGCGGAUGAAGGGAGCUUGCUCCUGGAUUCAGCGGCGGACGGGUGAGUAAUGCCUAGGAAUCUGCCUGGUAGUGGGGGAUAACGUCCGGAAACGGGCGCUAAUACCGCAUACGUCCUGAGGGAGAAAGUGGGGGAUCUUCGGACCUCACGCUAUCAGAUGAGCCUAGGUCGGAUUAGCUAGUUGGUGGGGUAAAGGCCUACCAAGGUGACGAUCCGUAACUGGUCUGAGAGGAUGAUCAGUCACACUGGAACUGAGACACGGUCCAGACUCCUACGGGAGGCAGCAGUGGGGAAUAUUGGACAAUGGGCGAAAGCCUGAUCCGGCCAUGCCGCGUGUGUGAAGAAGGUCUUCGGAUUGUAAAGCACUUUAAGUUGGGAGGAAGGGCAGUAAGUUAAUACCUUGCUGUUUUGACGUUACCAACAGAAUAAGCACCGGCUAACUUCGUG